rnacentral:rRNA from 1 species
UAGGGAAUCUUCCGCAAUGGACGCAAGUCUGACGGAGCAACGCCGCGUGAGUGAAGAAGGUUUUCGGAUCGUAAAACUCUGUUGUUAGAGAAGAACAAGUGCUAGAGUAACUGUUAGCACCCUGACGGUAUCUAACCAGAAAGCCACGGCUAACUACGUGCCAGCAGCCGCGGUAAUACGUAGGUGGCAAGCGUUGUCCGGAUUUAUUGGGCGUAAAGCGAGCGCAGGCGGUUCCUUAAGUCUGAUGUGAAAGCCCCCGGCUCAACCGGGGAGGGUCAUUGGAAACUGGGGAACUUGAGUGCAGAAGAGGAGAGUGGAAUUCCAUGUGUAGCGGUGAAAUGCGUAGAUAUAUGGAGGAACACCAGUGGCGAAGGCGACUCUCUGGUCUGUAACUGACGCUGAGGCUCGAAAGCGUGGGUAGCAAACAGGAUUAGAUACCCUGGUAGUCCACGCCGUAAACGAUGAGUGCUAAGUGUUGGAGGGUUUCCGCCCUUCAGUGCUGCAGUUAACGCAUUAAGCACUCCGCCUGGGGAGUACGACCGCAAGGUU